UACGAAGGGGGCUAGCGUUGCUCGGAAUUACUGGGCGUAAAGGGUGCGUAGGUGGUUUGGUAAGUUAUCUGUGAAAUCCCCGGGCUCAACCUGGGCAGGUCAGAUAAUACUGCUGAACUCGAGUAUGGGAGAGGGUAGUGGAAUUUCCGGUGUAGCGGUGAAAUGCGUAGAGAUCGGAAGGAACACCAGUGGCGAAGGCGGCUACCUGGCCUAAUACUGACACUGAGGCACGAAAGCGUGGGGAGCAAACAGG
rnacentral:rRNA from 1 species